UACGUAGGGCGCAAGCGUUAUCCGGAAUUAUUGGGCGUAAAGAGCUCGUAGGCGGUUUGUCGCGUCUGCCGUGAAAGUCCGGGGCUCAACUCCGGAUCUGCGGUGGGUACGGGCAGACUAGAGUGCAGUAGGGGAGACUGGAAUUCCUGGUGUAGCGGUGAAAUGCGCAGAUAUCAGGAGGAACACCGGUGGCGAAGGCGGGUCUCUGGGCCGUUACUGACGCUGAGGAGCGGAAGCGUGGGGAGCGAACAGG
rnacentral:rRNA from 1 species